CUAUCGAAGGACCCCUUGAUUUCCAUGGAGGAGAGAGAAGCUGGAGGUUAAAUCAGCCAUCAGUGAGUGGCCAAUGAGUCAAUCAGUCAUACAUAUGAAAUGAAGUCUCAAAAAAAAGAAAUGAAGUCUCCAUAAAAACCCAGAACAUGGGGAUUCAGAGAACUUCCAGGGAAAUGCCUGGUAGUGAGAUUGUUGGGUCAUUGAGUAGCAGCAUGUUCGCUGUUAUCAGAAACUUCCAAGCAGUUCCAAAGCAGUGGGACCACUUUACACUCCCCCCAGCGAUGCAGAUACUGGGUGUAAUGACUGGAGGCCCAGCAGCUAUCUUGUGACCUUGAGGAUGAAUGCUACAUGCUGAGAAUGGUGGAGCAGAAAGGUGGAAGGAAACUGGUCCUGGGGACACCAUGGAGCUACCACCCCAUCUGGAUCCUCUGCAGGUCCAGACUGCUUUUACAUGAGACAGAAAUGUACUUCUGCCUUGUUUAAGCCACUGUCAUUUCUUUUCUCAGCUGAAAGAAGUAACAAAGCAGCAACCUCACUUUAUUGCAAGAAUAAAAGGGAACUCGUAGAACCUUACAGACAAUAAGCCACUGCACUCAGCCACUCCUGCCUGCUGCAGACCAACCCUGAGGAAUGCAGGAGUGGGGCAGAGCUGCAGAUAAGUCCCAGACCUGUGCUAUCCAGCCAUAGAGCCCACAUGAGAAUGCAUGAGGCAUCAGCCUGCUGUCUUGGAAGCCCUCAGGCUGUCCAAGACCCCUAGUCAUCUUUAAGGGCUUUCCCCUAAGCCCCAAACCUAGGCUUCUUGGAACCAAAAAGGCACAGAUGUCUUCAAAUCUAUCAAGACCCAACUCCCCUGAGCUCCUAACCCUGCUGUCUAGCUCUUCAGUGAAGACCAACGGGCAACUUGCAAAGUUGGGCUUAAUUUCAAAGAGGUUGCUAUCUUCACCAGGGGAACAGUUACCCAGAGUGGAGACCCUGCCCUGAAGACACUUGGCCAUCUGCAACCAGAGCUACUGGGCUCAGGAAGCUCAGCUUUUGUCAGAACAGGGAUUGCCUCAAGUGAAGAAAUCUGAAGAGUUCCAAUGUCUAGUGUUUAGUGUUCAGAACCACUGGGCAAACACGUUUUGCCCAAAGUCUGAGAGUCUGGGAUCUUCUAUAUCCUUUUCCGACCCCAGAUACCUCACAAACACUGUUGGCUGGGAGUUUAUGCUAAUCUGCACUCUCUCAGAGACACUACCUUCUUCUUGUGGGGACACUGACUCUCACCAAAAAGUUGUAUUCUCCCCUGCCUGGUGUUUUCCAGCAUACAGGUCCUGCCCCCUACUUCUAGAAAGAGCUUCUCUUCCAUCCAGCUUCCUGCACAUCUCACUUUCCACCAUGGUUCAUGUUUGUCUCCUGGUUUGGGAGGGAAAGAUUCUCUCAAGAACCUUUGGAAUGCACAUGACAUAAAAUCACUCUAAGAAAACUCACCGAACAGCUCACAUUGCAAUUGCCCUGGUAACUCCAUGAAACAGUCUUAAUAACACCUUCCUGGGGGUGAAUGUCAUCCUGGCUUUCCUUCAUUGACCUUGCAAACAGGGAAGAACAAGUGAUCUGGGUGCCAAGGAUACUCAGCUGCUGUCCUUGCUCUACUCCUGAUCCCUGGCCUCAGUGGGGCCAGAAGUCUAAAGGCAGCAAAGGUGAGAAGGCCUUGGGGACAUGGAGCACCAUGGCGUGGAUGGUUAAGAUCAACACUGGAGGGGUGAUGUUCCCACUCACAAGCCUUUGAAGGCUCCAGCCUGUGGCCAAAUUGGCCCAAAGGAGCCUUGGGCCAGGAAGGAGGCUGCAGAAGUCACUGUGAGGGGAGUGCUUGUGGGCCUGAUGGUCAUGGGCACUGAAGGCAUUCCAGAGUGAGCCUAGAAGGAGGGUGAGGGAUAGUAUUUUCCACAAAAGGCAAGACCUAAAGAGAGUUACAGCGACAGACAACAGAGACAAGGCUACUGGGCCCAUCCAAGGGCCACAUAUGAAACCAUAGAUAGUGUGUCACAGGGGAGGAGUACACAAGGAAGGCCCCAGGGCACGGCCCCAGCUCCUCCAGCGGACACAUCUGGAUCUUUCUCAAUGUAGGGAGGCUGUGUCCUGACCAUGCGGGCCUCUCUCAUUUUCCUCCCUCCUAAAUGGCCUGUCUCUCCCCCACCCCCACCCCCACCCCUACCAGCCUUGGCUCCCACCGUCCUGCCUUGGUCCUGCUGCUCAGCUGUGCACCAGGAAAGUCUGGAAGUCAUUAGUGGAGAGCUGGACCUUCCUGCUGUCUGCACCCAGCUGGGAAACCAAACAGAGAUGGGGGUGGGAGGCAUGAAAGGGUCCCUCAUCUUACGCCUGGGUGGAGCAGGAGGGGGAUAUGGGAUGCUGUGCUAAUUUGGAGGAUGGGGGCAUCCUCGUGUAGGAGAAAGAGGCCUGAGCCAGUCUCUGUAGGGGUGGGCAGUAGGGCAGCAUUGACAAGGACAACCAUGGGUCAUGUGGCCAUAGCUCUGUGCCGUAGGCAUGGCCAUCCUCCCCUCACAGGGAAGAGCAAAGACUCAGAAAGGUUGGGGGCAUUCCCGCGGGGACCUGGGCACAGAUGGAACAGGCUCUGCUGGCCUUCCUGAAACCUUUCUCUGGCCAUUUGGACAUGAGGCACUGUGGGGAGUGACCCACUGAGAGGAUGCAGUAGAGAGGUCAGCAGGGGUUGGGAUGCAGAGGGCCAGGCCAAGAAGGGACACAGGGAGUAUUGCUGAAGACUGGCCUAUGGGGGUGGGGUUAGGGGUACAUCUCAGACCCUCUUACUGCCCUGAGAAACAGCACUACCUGAACUUCCUUGCUGUACGAGAAAUCCAAAUGUUUUCUGGUUGCCAAACUAAGCUCAUGUUUAAGGGAAUACGCAGGGAUGGCGGGAUGGGGUAGGAUGGAGAGUGACUGCUGGAGGGCUAGCGUGAGGUGAGCGCUUUUGUACUCAGGACUUAAGGGAUCGUCACCACCACCUGGGGUGCUGUUAGACCUUCUGUUUACAGAAGGGAAGUUGUGAGUGGGAAGCCAUGUCACCAUACAAGGUCGCAAGCUGGGGACUCCAGCAGCAGGUCCCUGGGCCUCAGGGUCUCCAUUCCUGGCAACGAAAACCUGGAGGCUGGGUUGGGGGGGAACAGUGCAGGUGUGUUCCCAAACAGCCUCCUCUGAGAGAAAACCUGGCUGUGAGGACACCAGCCUGAGAAGCUGCAGAGUGGAUGCCUUUAUCUCCAGAUAGGAAGCCCCCCCACAACCCCACUUCACCUCUAUCCCCAGGGUACUGACCCAUUUCUCCAGCACAUUCUUGACAGCAUCUUGUUCUAGCCCUCCAGAGGCCAACCUUUCCCAGUGCCUUCCUGUUUAAGGACACAGGGAUGGAUGCAGACUCUCAGUUGAAAGGAGCAGGUGGGCGAACUUGGCUGAAUAAAUUUUCUUUUCUUCCUCCACAAGGAGAGUGAAGGCUGGACCUUGGGCUUCUGACAAGUGCAGGGAGGGGUUUGGCCCAGCCAAAUUCUCAACUGGAAAAAAAAAAAGAGCACAGCAUUCUCAGAGGCUGGCCUCCAUGUCAGGGAC